rnacentral:rRNA from 1 species
UACAGAGGUCUCAACCGUUGUUCGGAUUCAUUGGGCGUAAAGAGCUCGUAGGCGGUUUGUCGCGUCUGCCGUGAAAGUCCGGGGCUCAACUCCGGAUCUGCGGUGGGUACGGGCAGACUAGAGUGAUGUAGGGGAGACUGGAAUUCCUGGUGUAGCGGUGAAAUGCGCAGAUAUCAGGAGGAACACCGAUGGCGAAGGCAGGUCUCUGGGCAUUAACUGACGCUGAGGAGCGAAAGCAUGGGGAGCGAACAGG